CACGGUGACUUGCAAGCAACUCACUGUACUUAGGCACUGGACUACCUGAAUUUUUAAUUCAGUGACGGAAGGAUACUGGGUGUAGUCAAGUACUUGACUUGUCGGUGCGUGUGUCAAGAUAGGAUUGACCACUCCAGUUCUAAAGCUGUGUACAGUCGUGUUUCAAUUUAGGAAAAUCUUGGCCAGGGUAGUCCUAUUGAGGAGUCACAGGACUGUUUGAGUUGAGCACGAUUCGGAUGAUCUAAUCAGGGUUGACAGUUUAACCCUGAGUCAUCCUAAACACAGGGGUCAAAA
rnacentral:lncRNA from 1 species